ensembl:snoRNA ZK484.11 ncRNA
ACUUUCAAAGAUCUGCGAUGUGCACGUCACAUAUAUUCAUUCAAAAUGGCGCCAGCAAGCCAUUGAGCCAGAAAGAGCGUUUCUCUGUCGUCUCGCAAUCUUUAUGUCCCUCUGUUCCUCCGCCUC